UACGAAGGGUGCAAGCGUUACUCGGAAUUACUGGGCGUAAAGCGUGCGUAGGUGGUUUGUUAAGUCUGUUGUGAAAGCCCCGGGCUCAACCUGGGAAUGGCAAUGGAUACUGACAAGCUAGAGUGCGGUAGAGGGUAGUGGAAUUCCCGGUGUAGCGGUGAAAUGCGUAGAGAUCGGGAGGAACACCAGUGGCGAAGGCGGCUACCUGGACCAGCACUGACACUGAGGCACGAAAGCGUGGGGAGCAACAGAGUAGAAUC
rnacentral:rRNA from 1 species